CAAACUGUCUCGCGAGUUCUGUGAACACUGAAAUAGAAUAGUGAGUAGAAAAUAAAAUAAAAGUCUGCUACUCUUCUUGCUUAGUCUAGAACAGGAGCAGAGGGUUUCUUACCCGAGCACGGUUUCCCAGGAGACUAAAAAAAUAGACGCGCAAGUUUCCGAUCAUCGUCUCGCGAUCUUGAAACUUUUGCUCGUCAUUCUACGCUUCUCAUGUUGUAACUCCGAGGUACUUAUGGCUUGUGACUAACAAUGUCAGCCUUACUCUGGACGAUAGAGAGAAAUAACGAAUACAUACCUCAAAGCAUCCAGAAUAAAAUUCUCUGUCCAGGGAUUUAAUUCAACUUUCUGUGUGAAGCAGUGUAUUCAGUGAUUGUCGAAGCCUUGGCCUCUGUGCUGAAGCAGAUUUUGAUCUCGAUCUCGAUCUCACCGGACAUCCUCCUGUUCUCAAUUCCCAGUGCAAUACUCAUUUUCGGCCUUCUUCGAGCUGAAGACCAAUAGAAUAGACAAAGGAACGUGGACCUGCCUGUUCGGGGAAGCAUGUAUGUCGCCUACUCUCAAGUUGCUGGUUGCUUGGUCAAGGGAAUUAGG